rnacentral:rRNA from 1 species
UGCAGCAGGCGCGAAACCUUUACACUGCACGACAGUGCGAUAGGGGGACUCCGAGUGCGAGGGCAUAUAGUCCUCGCUUUUCUGUACCGUAAGGUGGUACAGGAACAAGGGCUGGGCAAGACCGGUGCCAGCCGCCGCGGUAAUACCGGCAGCCCGAGUGAUGGCCGAUAUUAUUGGGCCUAAAGCGUCCGUAGCCGGCCGGGCAAGUCCAUUGGGAAAUCGACCAGCUCAACGGGUGGGCGUCCGGUGGAAACUACACGGCUUGGGGCCGGAAGACUCGAGGGGUACGUCCGGGGUAGGAGUGAAAUCCUGUAAUCCUGGACGGACCACCAAUGGGGAAAGCACGUUGAGAGACCGGACCCGACGGUGAGGGACGAAACGCAUCGUUCUCG